AAGGAUGCCUUGCAUUUCUUUAAGUUUGAACUUUUAUAUAAUGUUCAAGUAAUCUUAUUCUUAUUUAUAAUUUAUUUCAUUUAAUUAUUUAGCCUGAAAUGUUCUAUAUGUAGUUCUGGUACUAUAAGCAAAUUUGGGUUUCUCUAUCUGGAUCUGUCAUUAUUUCUCAUGCACAUCCUCUCAUGGGUUACUGGACAGAGGAGCAUUAUAGACAUGGAGAGGAGUACGAGAUGGAGCAUGGAUGGGGCAAUGGGGAGGUGAUAAUGUUGUUGAGUCUCCCUGAGAGAGAAGAGCCUCUGUGUGUAGGGAGGAGAUCGAGAAGUAUGAUGGCGAAUAUUAUGGAUCUUCAAUAGGAGAAGCAUACAAUGUUUGGAUCAAAUGAGCCACCACAAGAUUUAAAGUGCCGAGCCACUAGUAAGAAGGGGCCUUUUGAAAAUUGUGAGGAUGUGGAGAAAGCUCCUUCUAAAUUUGUGAGAGUAUGGAGAAAGCUCAGGUGCAAGGCCACAAUCAGUUUUCAGAGAAAAUGAUUCUUCUCUUUUCACAACGUUUGUUAUCUUUGGAGCAACAACAACAUCGUUUAGAGAGCAAAGUUGAUCAAGGGAUCUCACUAAUGCAAGAAAUGUUUCAGGUACCAUAAAACUUUUGAUAUGAAAAAUUAUAAUAUACAUGUGUUGAAACGAUUUUUGUACUAUCAAUAAUUAAGAUCUACAUAGAUUCAAUUUAUUUUUUUCGUAGGAGAUAUUAAGGAGGCUACAUGACAAGGUACAAAUUCAACUCAUGAAUGAUAUACCAAUUGUGUAGGAAGAUUCAGAGUUACAGCGGAAUAUUUCUUCGGCAUGCCAUGAGAUUACUUCUAUAUUGGUAGUGACACCGAUUUCACUUAAGAAAAAGAGAGAGAAAAAUAUCCUUUCACACAACUACUAGAACUUUGUUAUUUACUGUAGCUCAGAGAGUAAAGGCAAGGUACCAAAAGAAGCCUAGUUCAUACAUAAAAUCUUUCUGGAUAGUAGAAUCCAAACAGUGUAGGAAAAGAAAGUGGACAAAAGUAUCGAAGAAAACUCAAUUACAUUUCAUCAGCAGUGAAGUUUUACCAGCAAGUAGUAUGUUAAAAACAUCAAUAGUCAAUGAAGAAAUGCCUAGCGAGCCCAUUAAGAUACUUGACAGUGUGAAAGUUGGUUUAAGCUCAGAUGCUCUAACGACUGCAGUAAAACUUUCAUUGCUCGAAAGGGCCUCUCUUAGAUAUAUAAAAUUUCAUGUGUCGUCCGUUGAGAAGACAAUAGUCUCUAUAGACGAUGUUGAAGUCACUGCAGAGCAAAUAUCCUGUCUAACCAAGAUUGUAUGGUUGAAUGAUAAUAUAUGUUUUUAUUAUUAUAUUUAUAUUUGCUACCUACAAUUUAUACUAUUAUUAUGAAUUUCAUGUAAUUCAGAUCAUGGAUGCGUACACAAGGAUGCUAUGGCUCCAACGGCAUAAUUCUUUAGAGCUUGACAACCAAACAGUUUGUAUUGAAAGUGUGCAUAUGUUUCGAGUGCUAUCCAAACUGGGUGAAAGUAGAGAGGACACUCUAAAUUUAUCUGAUCAUAAAAUUUAGAGAUUUGCAAGGACAGGAACAAGAUGGAUAAAUUCCGACAUAGUAAAUAUUUUUUUAUUUUUUUGGAAGUCUAUAUAUUUUUGA